UACGGGGGGGCAAGCGUUGUUCGGAAUUACUGGGCGUAAAGGGCUCGUAGGCGGCCAACUAAGUCGGACGUGAAAUCCCCUCGGCUUAACCGGGGAACUGCCUUUGAUACUGAGGAUCUUGAGUUCGGGAGAGGUGAGUGGAACUGCGAGUGUAGAGGUGAAAUUCGUAGAUAUUCGCAAGAACACCAGUGGCGAAGGCGGCUCACUGGCCCGAUACUGACGCUGAGGCACGAAAGCGUGGGGAGCAAACAGG
rnacentral:rRNA from 1 species